GUAGCUCAACGGAUAGAGCAUUUGACUUCGGAUCAAAGGGUUGGGGGUUCAAGUCCCUCC
rnacentral:tRNA from 1 species